rnacentral:misc_RNA from 1 species
AUAUCUCAACUCCAAUGUUUUGUCAAGGUCUUGUUGACUCGUCCUGCCGGCCUAGCGAGGCUGCUGCGACUGUCGCGAGGCUGAAGCGUUGGAGCUUGGACUUGAGCUCUGUUGGCCUUUCCAGGUCGACUGGCUAGAAAUGCAUCAGCGAUGACGUCCCUUGGGUCCAUCUCGGCGUGAUAAGUUGAUCGUCGCAAAGGUCCUCGGGUUGGCUCGCUCCUAAUCGUCUUCGGACAGCCUCUGACG